UGAUGAUUUCAAAGAGGGCUGAUGGACCAAAUCCAGGACCUCUUAACCGUAACCAGAGAUUAAGUUCUUCAUAGGACUCAAUAAUGCUAUGUUUUUCUGAUGGAGAUAUAAGA
rnacentral:snoRNA from 1 species